rnacentral:lncRNA from 1 species
UGGAUUUGUGUGUGCAUGUGUUGUGAUUGGUCGUCGGCCAAGAGCAUUGAUUGGUUAAAUUAUUUUCAUCUUAAUUUAUUUCAAGAGUGGAAUAGAAGAAGGGUCAUGGGAAAGAAGAGGAGAAAAACUUAAUUUCCUUUUUUUUUUUGUUUUUCCCUUGUUCUUUUCCACUGGAUUUAGUGAGAAUAACACCAUUUGCAUGAGGGAGAAAACUAUGGUCUUGGCUUGCCUAGAAGUUGUUCUUUCGAGUGUUG